rnacentral:misc_RNA from 1 species
GACCCUAGGAAGAAGCUCUCCGAAUUGAGAACAACCGGAACAGGUGUUGCCUCUACCUCUCCACGGUUAGUGGUAGGAUUACGCAACAUUCUGCGCCGAUCCUCAAACAAGUAGGAACGAGCUUAGCCCUCUCAAUUACGACAACCAGCCCGGCCGACAACCCCGUCUAGACACGCAAGUGGAUGGGCGGAUAAACACCGACGCUGGACGUCAAAGAGGACGUG